GACAGAGGGUGCAAACGUUGCUCGGAAUUACUGGGCGUAAAGCGCGUGUAGGUGGAUUGGUGUGUCAGAUGUGAAAGCCCUGGGCUCAACCCAGGAACUGCACCUGAAACUACCAGUCUUGAGUGGUGGAGAGGGAAGUGGAAUUCCUGGUGUAGAGGUGAAAUUCGUAGAUAUCAGGAGGAACACCGGUGGCGAAGGCGGGUCUCUGGGCAGUAACUGACGCUGAGGAGCGAAAGCGUGGGGAGCGAACAGG
rnacentral:rRNA from 1 species